GAGUUUGAUCCUGGCUCAAGAUGAACGCUGGCGGCGUGCCUAACACAUGCAAGUCGAACGGGCGAGGCGUGCGGCAGGGGCCUCGGCCCCUGCGGCGCCGCGCGAGUGGCGGACGGGUGAGUAACGCGUGGGUAACCUGCCUUACACUGGGGGAUAACACUUAGAAAUAGGUGCUAAUACCGCAUAAUGAGAGGAGACGCAUGUCUUCUGUCUGAAAACUCCGGUGGUGUAAGAUGGACCCGCGUCUGAUUAGCCAGUUGGCGGGGUAACGGCCCACCAAAGCGACGAUCAGUAGCCGGCCUGAGAGGGUGAACGGCCACAUUGGGACUGAGACACGGCCCAAACUCCUACGGGAGGCAGCAGUGGGGAAUAUUGGACAAUGGGGGGAACCCUGAUCCAGCGACGCCGCGUGAGUGAAGAAGUAUUUCGGUAUGUAAAGCUCUAUCAGCAGGGAAGAAAGAAAUGACGGUACCUGACUAAGAAGCCCCGGCUAACUACGUGCCAGCAGCCGCGGUAAUACGUAGGGGGCAAGCGUUAUCCGGAAUGAUUGGGCGUAAAGGGUGCGUAGGCGGCCUGCUAAGUCUGGAGUGAAAGGUACCGGCUCAACCGGUACAGGCUCUGGAAACUGGCGGGCUAGAGAGCAGGAGAGGGCGGUGGAACUCCAUGUGUAGCGGUAAAAUGCGUAGAUAUAUGGAAGAACACCAGUGGCGAAGGCGGCCGCCUGGCCUGUUACUGACGCUGAGGCACGAAAGCGUGGGGAGCAAAUAGGAUUAGAUACCCUAGUAGUCCACGCCGUAAACGAUGAAUGCUAAACUGUCCGGUGCGAGUGAGUGCUGGGCGGUACAGCGAAAGCGUUAAGCAUUCCACCUGGGGAGUACGCCGGCAACGGUGAAACUCAAAGGAAUUGACGGGGGCCCGCACAAGCGGAGGAACAUGUGGUUUAAUUCGAUGAUACGCGAGGAACCUUACCCGGGCUCAAACGCAUGAUGACGGGUCCCGAAAGGGGCCUUUCUUCGGACAUUCUGCGAGGUGCUGCAUGGUUGUCGUCAGCUCGUGCCGUGAGGUGUCGGCUUAAGUGCCAUAACGAGCGCAACCCCUGUCCACAGUUGCCAGCAGGUAAGGCUGGGGACUCUGUGGAGACUGCCGGCGCAAGCUGCGAGGAAGGCGGGGAUGACGUCAAAUCAGCACGGCCCUUACGUCCGGGGCGACACACGUGUUACAAUGGCAGGUACAGCGGGAUGCCACGGGGCGACCCGGCGCUGAACCCGAAAACCUGUCUCAGUUCGGAUUGGAGUCUGCAACCCGACUCCAUGAAGCUGGAUUCGCUAGUAAUCGCGCAUCAGCCACGGCGCGGUGAAUACGUUCCCGGGCCUUGCACACACCGCCCGUCAAG
rnacentral:rRNA from 1 species